GAAAAACCUAAUCCCCUCUUCUGUUAAAUCACCGCCUCCCUCCGCUAUAGCUCCGCCACCCGAGAAUCGCCUCACUACAACGGAGCACCUCUAAAUAUCACCAAAUUUUAACCAGUUGAUCCUCAAUGUCUCCUCAUUCUUGUCGUACCAUCAAUUUCUCCAAAAGACCACCCAAUUUCUCUGAGUUUUAGAUCACAGAAUAAAAUUCCAAUUUUUUUCUCCCUUUCCCAAAUUUUUUGGAUUAAUCAUCAAUCCAUAGUAAACACCUCGUGAAUUACCCAACUCUUUAACAAAAUAAAUUCGUUUGAAAAAUCUAGAAGACAUUCUUGUGGAUUUGGUUAAAUUUCAGACGAAUGGUUCUCGAGUUUUUCAUUCUUUCGAGCCUCUGUUCCGUUUUCUCUUGCCAAGCAUUGAUGAUUGCUGCAUGAAUCAUUAGCCAUGAACAAAAAUUCGGCUAAUAUUUGAGUGGAAAUUCUCACCGUUUGGUCGAGCUUUUAGAUUCGCCAGAGUUCGAGUUCGAGUCAUCUUUGUUAUCAAAGAUUUUGAAGUUAAUUGGAUUCCCUUGGUAUUUUUCUUGUUCCUUUCUUCUUUAAGUUCAGUCAUAAAGUUCUUCCUCUGUUCUGUAGACUAGAUUAAAUAUGUCGGUCAGUAAUUUAGUAUUGAUUUGCAUUGUUCUGUUAAAGUAUUUUAUUUAGAAAAAAGAAAUAAAGAAUAAUUAUAUAUACACUGUUUCAGUCUCAGAUUGGACUUGCCAUUUCUUUUCUCUAAAGUUUUGUGGUUUGGACUGGGUUUUGGGGUUAUAGUACAAGCCCAUGAGUGAAGGUCCAAAUUUUGAAGCCCAUUCGUUGGCCCAAGUUUGGGACUGAGUCUUGGGUUAAUUUGACCCCAUUUGAUCUUAAGGGUAAAUAUUAGAGUUUUAAAUGUUAGUUUAGGAAUUUAAUUAGGGAGAAUCUGCUGUAAGUAACUGAGCAAACCUCUUGGAAGGUAGGGUGGGAAUUAUUUCGAAAAUCUGAAUUUUAAAACUAAGGUCCCCUAAGCAAAAAUGAAAAUUCAAAAAGGGUUAAAAUGCGAAAUCUGAUAUCCUGGGGAUACCUUAAAAGCUUGCUUAUAAAGGAAUCAUUUCUUCUUUAGCAAGACAGAUAAUUAAGAGAUAAAAAACCUAUAAAAAUCGAAAGGGCUGAAGUUAUUUUCCUUUCAAAAAAAAUACUGAAAUUGUUGAGUUUUCUACUUGAUUUCAAGUUUUAAUUCCUUUGUGAAAAGUCAGAUUUUAAAUGAUUCAGCAGAAAUGGUGUAUUUUGGAUUCUGAACAUCAGAAUUUGGGUUUGAAAAUUUGAGGCUUGACUUGCUAAUUCUGUUACUGUUUCAUUGUUGGGUUAAGUUGAUUUCAGUUGUUGUUUAUUGUUGAUUCUUCACCUUUUUUUUCCAUGUUCAUUACCAUGUAUUACUUCAAACCAUUGUCAACGAGUGACUAAGAACAUGUAUUUCGAGCUGAGGACUGACCGAAUACAAGUUGUUUUGUUCUUUUUGGAUUUCCCUUCAUCUGCUUCUUCUACUUCCUUAAUUGUUCUGUAAUAGACCUCGUAUUGUACAUGUUAGCCUAAUUGCUAUAUUGUAGAAAUGAAUUUGUGCCGUUUAACAGUUCCUCAUUUAUAUAAUGUCUUAAUAGCUUGAUUUACUAUGUUUUCUACUUAAUUUCUGAUUUAGGAAGUAUAGUUUGCAUGCUUAUGUUUGAUUUAGGACUAUUAGAGAUAGUGCAGUAGAUGGUUUUCUAGUUAUACGACCAACUUUUUUUAUAUUUUGCUGAGAGUCAGUGUGUUGAUUUCAUAUGGAAUUUGCAAAAUGACGAGUGUAAUUUGCUAUUUGAAGGGAAUUGUGAUGUGAUCUAAGGUUUGCUUGUUAUGUGUUGCUUGAAAAAAAGGUUUGACUUGUGAUAUAUAGGCCUAUGAUAAGAGUAGUUUAAUUCACCCAUUAGUCUUGUUUAAUGGUUUUGAGAAGGAAACAAUUCAGUGUUUAACGUCCUGUGAAAUGAGAGUUUGAGUCAUGUAGUUUUGAAGUCUGUUUUGUCGCUAGAAGAGUUCUGAGGCAAGGUGUGAGAGAUUUCAUAUUAUACUGUAAAUACUUUCAAAAUUGAGUAAUCUUAGAGGUUGAAUAUUGCUAUGUGUAGUGGAAUAAAUACACCUGAAAUUAACCAUUUCUUUAAGGCUGUUUGGAAUGAGAUUUAGUGAUUGGGGUGAGACUUCGUCUUUGUUUAGUAGAUUCUAAAUGAAUGUGUUUGGUUUCUCAUGACCUUAAAGAAUGCUGCCAUCUUGGAAGGGAUUUGAAUAUAAAAAACGUGUUUUGUAUUUGUCUGCAUUUGCGAAAACUUUCCACUAAUUGUUUAAUUCUAAGCUCUAUGCAUAAUGGGCAAUUUUGGCUUAAUUAUCAUGUCGAGACGUGCAACUGGGCCCCACAGCAUCGACACAAUGCUCUCUUGAUGUUCCAGCUACAGGCUCCAUUCGAGCCUAGUUCCCUUUUGGGUUUUCGGCGAGCAAGCUCGCGUAAAUGCCAAUUGGGCUUCUUGGUCAAUCAGGUUUCUUGCACAGCCGAACGCUGGCUUCAUUUUAUUUUUAAUGAUUCUCAAGGCUAGCUUAUUCGUCUGUCUAGUUUGAAUUCAAACCGCAUUAAGCCGUAGCUAGUUAAUUGGACUUUGCUUUAGACUUGAGGCGAGUCAUAUUAGACAAGUUAUAAUUUACGACCCUCAAAACUAAGUUUAGAAAUAUUUUAAUAAAUAGUCGAGGUGUGCCGUGCCAUAUAAAAUCUUAAAUGCACGGUACUUAUUUAAUCAGUGUUUUAAAAUCCUUAGAAUUCAUGGCGUUCCAUAUAGUGAAUUUUUCAUGGCCCUCGCAAAGUUUAAAAUAUGUAGUUGCUUUAGGCGCGUAAUUUAAAAUUACCUUCCAAACUCAGGUGUGCAUUUCAUGUGACCCUGAUCUAAAUCUCAAUAACGUUAAAUAAAAUGAGGUCGUGGACCGCGAGUGAUUUCAUGUGGUAUGGUUCAAAGGCGUGUUUUAGAUAACGUUGAAUCCUCCAAAAAUUAAUUAAAAGUGGUUAAUAAGUUAAAAUGCACAUUAGGCGAAAGCAUGUGUUAAAAUAAGAUAAUAGGCCAAUUGUAAUAGUUUAAGCGACCAUGGUAGAACCACGGAAUGGGGGAAUGCCUAACACCUUCUCCCGGGUUAAUAGAAUUCCUUAUUAAGAAUUUCUAGUUCACAGACUUCAAAAGCAAAGUUGAAUUUCGUCGAUUUGGGAUUUCAAGCUAAAUCGGUGACUUUGGACACCAUAAUAAAAAUUCCAAUUGCGGAUUCUGAAACAAACUAAUCUCAUUUCGAAUAAUGUCACUUCAAUUAGAAAGACUUACUUGUACUACUUUUGAGUGAUGUAAAAAAAAGGUGUGACAGUAAGGAUAAAUUUGACCAAAUAGUAUAAUAUUAAUCGGAUAAUAUAAUAAAUAUUAAAUAUACAUAAUGUCCGAAAAUAUAUGGAUAUAUCCGGCUAUUCUCCCUUUUAAUUUUGUCGUUGGAAAAAUGCUCUUACACUUCUCAGUGUCUUUCAGUGUUGCCAUAAGUUUAUUGAAAGUACGUAGUUGAAGAAUUUUUACAUCUAUCUUUUUGUUGCAUGUAUUGAAAUAGGUCGUUGUCCCUUUUUGUGAUCUCUGCCUUGGGUGCUGCAUAAUCCACGUGAAUAUUGUUACCAAAACCAUAUUAACCCACAUUUUUCGAAUCACUGUUUCUUUAUCUCUCUGCAUUUACUUUGGUGAGGUGGGGGGUGGGUGGAAAUAUCACUACUUUGAUUUGUCGCUUAGUCAUGUACUCCUACUGAUAUACUGCAUAUAUGCUGCCAACACCCAUAAACUCCUAAUUAGUGCUAUUAAAUAUUAAUUAGUGCAUUCAACAUUCUAAAUAGAGAUUUCUUUUGAUGUUUACAUAGAAAGAAUAUGAAAACAAAUUGGGUGGACUCAAACGACUCGACCGGUCGUUUUGAGCUAUUAGACUUUGAUCGCUAGUUCUUGGGAAUAACUUGCCAUGUGCAAUGUACUAUGACUGAUGUAGAUCAUUGGUUUUGGUUUUCAGGAAAUUUGGAAUAAAUUUGAAAGAAAUAGUCUCAGUUGAAAGCUUUGAAUUUGAAAGGAUUGACCAAGAGUUGACUUUUUGUAUAUGAGCAUGGAUCGGAAUUUUUAUGAUUUGGUUAGCUUCAUUGGGUGAUUUAUGAUUAGGAGUGCCGCUGGAAUGCAUUUUGGAAGUCUGUGGAAGGAUUUGGUUUGAAUUGGCAAAGUUAGUAUUUUGGCGAAUUCCAAUUGAUCGGUGAGAUUUUGAUAUAGAGGUCGGAAUGGAAUUCCGAGAGCUACAGUAGCUUCGUUAUAUCAUUUGGGGUGUUUUUGUAAAAUUUCAGGUUAUUUGGACGUCGUUUGGCCGGACUUUUGAUCGAAAGUGUAUUUCGGAAGUUUUUGGAAACUUAUGCAUGAAUUCGAUGAGUUUUGAGUAAUUUGAUGUUGGUUGAGGUGUUUUGAUUAUUGGAACAAGUUUGAAUGAUGUUAUGGAUUAUGUUGGAAUGUUUGGUUGAGACAGAGGCCUCGGGUGUGUUCCGGAUAGGUCCUGGGGUGUCUUUAGGCUAAAAUAUAGAUGUUGGAGGCCUGGAGGGUCAAAUCCCUGAACCCGCGACCGCUGUCCGUGGUCAUACUUUUCGCUGACCGCGGUGGGAGGUUUCGCGGACGUGGUCGUGCUCUCACGGUCCGUAGUGAAGUAGUUAGGCCACUGAUCCGACUUCGGAAGCUCAUAUCUUUUGGUACACAUGGAUCUUUGAGAUUAUUCAAAAAUAAAAGUUGCAGCUCUUUCAAUCUAGUUUUCAGAAACAUAUUAUAAUGGCCAUUUGGACAUAUGUAGCGAAAGUUAUGACCAAAAUACAAAAGCCUACCAUCGUAAAGAACACUUGUGAGACCACAUCAUUUUUGCGCGGAUCGCUAUGGUUUUGCGCGGCCGCGGUCAAUUUUGUUCGGCCCGUGGAGAUGGAAAUCUGAGAGUUACUCUAUAAAUACAAUGUUUUGGGUUUUAUUUGAUAUUUUGCCCAAGAGAACUCAGCUUUUGGCGAUUUUUCGAAGGUUUUUCAAGAAAUUCGUUGGGGUAAGUGAUUCUAACUCAGAUUUGGCUAGAGUACAUGAAUCUAACAUUGAAUUCAUCAUUUAAUUCGUCAUUCGGGAUGGAAUUCGGGAAAAAAAUUGUGGAAUCUUUCAAAAACAUGAAAUGACGAUUUGACGGACUAAAUGGUGUCGAAAUUGGCUAAUUUUCAUAUGGUUAGACUUGUGAGAGUAUAAGGAUUCUAGUUUAGUAAAUUUUUGUUAAAUCUCGAAAUGUGGGCCCGAGGUUGGGUUUGACCAAUUUUGGAAUUUUGUGGUAAUUUGAUUAUUUUCAAGUGGGCUUUGUUCCCUUGGCAUAUUUUGAUGGUUUAGUACUGAUUUCGGCUAGAUUUAGAGCAUGCAGAGGCCGAUUCGAGAGGCAAAGGAAUCGCUGGCUAGAGUUUAGGCCAGAUAUAGGUGAGUAAUGAUUGUAAAUGAUGUUCUGAGGGUUUGAAACCCCGAAAUUACACAUCGUAGUGCUAUAUUGAGGUGACUUGCACGUUGGAUAGCGCGCGUGGGGUAGAGUACUAUUGGGAAUUGUACUUGGUCCGUCCUGAUUGAUGAUUUUUACUGUGUACUUAACUGAAACAUAUUUGUUAUCCUAAUGAUUUGGGCUGAUUGCUUUAUUUGGGCUUCGUGCCAGCUAUUUGAACCCUUCCGGGGAUGAUUUGUUGAUAUUUCCUCACUGUUUUGAUUUUAUACUUGUAACUCAGUCAUGUAUUAUCUAUUGUUUUCAAAGCUGAGCCAAGUUUACUUUGCUUUAACACGUGAAAUGAGAUUUCCAACAAUGUUUUGGGCUAAGCUUCAUGUUUUACUAUUGCCCGGGGGGCUUAUGUGAUUUUUGACUGAGUAAGGCCGAUGGCUUGUGUUGUGAGGAUAGUUUUGGAUCGGGCUGCACGCCGUAAUAGUGAGAUUCUAAUAUUGAUAUGAGGCCGAUGGCCUAGAUUUGUGCCACGAGAUGUCUUGAUAUUGCGCUUGGGUCGUAAGGGGCCCCUCCGGGUGUCUGAACAUCCCUAGUGAGCGCCGUCGACGAUAAAUUAAUUGGGCUGCACUCCGCAGCAGUACCGAUACUGUUUUAUGUGUUUACUUGUUUAUUGUCUGCCAUUAUCUAUAGUUGUGCUAUUUCAUGUGAUAUCUACCUGAUUGCUUGGCAUUUUCUGCUAAGUGAGUGUUGCGCCCGAGGGGCGAAUUUUCAUGCUUAUUUGCACUAGUUGUCUUCCACUCAUUUUCAUAACUUUUUGAAAAAGUCAUUUUCAAAAGAGGUUUAUACUAAGCUAAGGCGUUUUCUAAGAUUUCACAGUUUCAUUUUUUUUCUCAAAAGGUUAUACACUGCUUCUACACAGCAUGAUGAUUUGCCUUACGUGAUUUCUUAUUGCUCAGUUAUUAUUUACCUUUAUUACUCACUGAGUUGGAGUAUUCACUUUACUCCCUGCACCUCGUGUGCAGAUGCAGGUAUUUAUUCACCCAGUAGCGGGUUUUG
rnacentral:lncRNA from 1 species